rnacentral:tRNA from 1 species
UGGGGUAUAGCCAAGUGGUAAGGCAAUAGACUUUGACUCUAUCAUUCCCUGGUUCGAUCCCAGGUACCCCAGCCA